rnacentral:rRNA from 1 species
UAGGGAAUCUUCCGCAAUGGGCGAAAGCCUGACGGAGCAACGCCGCGUGAGUGAUGAAGGUCUUCGGAUCGUAAAACUCUGUUAUUAGGGAAGAACAAAUGUGUAAGUAACUAUGCACGUCUUGACGGUACCUAAUCAGAAAGCCACGGCUAACUACGUGCCCGCAGCCGCGGUAAUACGUAGGUGGCAAGCGUUAUCCGGAAUUAUUGGGCGUAAAGCGCGCGUAGGCGGUUUUUUAAGUCUGAUGUGAAAGCCCACGGCUCAACCGUGGAGGGUCAUUGGAAACUGGAAAACUUGAGUGCAGAAGAGGAAAGUGGAAUUCCAUGGGUAGCGGUGAAAUGCGCAGAGAUAUGGAGGAACACCAGUGGCGAAGGCGACUUUCUGGUCUGUAACUGACGCUGAUGUGCGAAAGCGUGGGGAUAAAACAGG